rnacentral:rRNA from 1 species
AGAGUUUGAUCMUGGCUCAGAACGAACGCUGGCGGCGUGCUUAACACAUGCAAGUCGAACGCGAAAGGGACUUCGGUCCCGAGUAGAGUGGCGCACGGGUGAGUAACGCGUAAGUAAUCUACCCCUGUAUCUGGAAUAACCCACCGAAAGGUGAGCUAAUACCGGAUACGUUUAUCUUGAUGCGAAUGAUGAUAAAGAAAGGUGGCCUCUUCAUGAAAGCUACCGUACAGGGACGAGCUUGCGUACCAUUAGCUGGUUGGUAGGGUAAUGGCCUACCAAGGCGACGAUGGUUAGCGGGUCUGAGAGGAUGAUCCGCCACACUGGAACUGAAACACGGACCAGACUCCUACGGGAGGCAGCAGUGAGGAAUAUUGCGCAAUGGGGGCAACCCUGACGCAGCGACGCCGCGUGGACGAUGAAGGCCCUUGGGUCGUAAAAUCCUGUCAGAUGGAAAGAAAUGUACAGGUGUUAAUAUCGCCUGUAUUUGACGGUACCAUCAAAGGAAGCACCGGCUAACUCCGUGCCAGCMGCCGCGGUAAUA